UCCCUCUUCUCUGUGUGUGUAUAAAUGUUCAUCUAUACACAACAAAUGAUAUACACAAAAAUAUAAUAAAAAUUUGUUUAUUGCCGAUUUUACUGAUGUUGUUGGGCUAGACAAAAAAGCUUAUCCUCAUUGAUAGGAAGUCCUUCGAUGUCGCUUACUAUGGGAAAGACCUCGACGGCCUACGCAUUUGCAAAAAUGGAAAGGGGUCUAGAGUUUUGAUCACUCUGGACAAGGAAGACGUUAGCUAGCUUGUUGAUGCACUUAGUGACUUUUAUUGGUACAAGGGAGGUGUUACUUGGGGAAACAACGAGAAGGGUCAAAAGCAUACACUCUGGAUAGCCCUGUGCUGGAACAAACGUGGAUGGUUCUUAGUUUUCUCCAAGCAAAAAAGCAAGGCGUACAAAAGAAUCUUCAUACCCGAAGGCAUCGAGGCUGGCGGUUGGUGGAGAAUGAUGAAAUCUAUUUAUGAGUUCACAGAAAUUCUGCUAGUCCACCUAGAAAAAAUAAGCAUUUUGCCAAAUCCUAUUAUGGCGAGAUGCUCAAACUCUGUAUUUAUUCCUCCCAUUCCUACGGUACUCUGCUGUCCCCAUUGCAAAUAGGGCUUUAAGUUGGUGGUGAUACUAGAUGGAGGAAAAAACUUUUGCUGAGGUAUUACAGGUAGAUGCGGCGCCUGUUAUCGAGUAGGGUAGGCGCUUCCUAACCCAACUUUGACAUGGAAGACGCAUAACGAGGAUAACCCAGAUAGACACAAUGAAGGGACAAGAAAUAUUGGGCCUGCCUCCUCCAUGGACCCAACAACGAAUCUCGAUCCAUUGGGAAAGCCUAGGUACAAGAGAGAAGAAAAAGGAAAAUUGGUUGAGCAUAUUGGGACAAACAAGGAGGCCAUGAAGAAAAAAAGCCCGAGAAGGGCUGAAUUGGGUGGGCCAAGCAAAGAAACCGAGAAGAAAAAAGCUUGCGAGUUAAAUGGUUCUAGCGGCCCAAGAAAAAUUCUUUAAAACAUGUCUUCUGUCGAGAAAGGAGCCUCAAUGAGUACAGAGGAAGCUUCAUGAGUUGAAGUGUCUGGCGACACAUGCAUCGCGUAGAGCCCGGGUGGUUCUGUGGCGAUUGUAGAGGUUCUUGAAAGAGAAGAUGUUGAGCUGAUGCCACUUGCAAGGAUUGAUAGAUCUGAGAGGGAUAAGUGUUCGUCUUUUGCAGGUAUGUCUUUUCCCCCAAUUGUCCAUUUGUGACCUUGAAAUUAAGACGGUGUCUGAGGCGGAGUAUAGCGAAAUCAUCCUUGGAGGCUCUUUGACUUAUUGUCCUGAUUCAUCACACAUAGACAUAGUCUGUGAAGAACAGAUGUAUUCCACCUGGGUUUUAAGAAAUAUUUGGCAUGUCAACAAGUCUUUGGGAGUCUCCUCUGACAGU
rnacentral:lncRNA from 1 species